CCCUAGUAACUGCGAGUGAAGCGGGAAAAGCUCAAAUUUAAAAGCUGACGGUCUUUGGCCGUCCGCAUUGUAAUCUAGAGAAGUGUUACCCGCGUUGGACCGUGUACAAGUCUCCUGGAAUGGAGCAUCAUAGAGGGUGACAAUCCCGUCUUUGACACGGACUCCCAAGGCUUUGUGGUGCGCUCUCAAAGAGUCGAGUUGUUUGGGAAUGCAGCUCAAAAUGGGUGGUAAAUUCCAUCUAAAGCUAAAUAUUGGCGAGAGACCGAUAGCGAACAAGUACCGUGAGGGAAAGAUGAAAAGAACUUUGGAAAGAGAGUUAAACAGUACGUGAAAUUGCUGAAAGGGAAACGCUUGAAGUCAGUCGCGUCGUCCGGAGAUCAACCUUGCUUUUGCUGGGCGUACUCUCUGGUUGACGGGCCAGCAUCAGUUUUGGCCACUGGAAAAGGGCGGAAGGAAUGUGGCAUCUUCGGAUGUGUUAUAGCCUUCCGUCGUAUACAGUGGCUGGGACUGAGGAACUCAGCACGCCGCAAGGCCGGGAUUUUAUCCACGUUCGUGCUUAGGAUGCUGGCAUAAUGGCUUUAAUCGACCCGUCUUGAAACACGGACCAAGGAGUCUAACAUACCUGCGAGUGUUUGGGUGGAAAACCCGAGCGCGUAAUGAAAGUGAAAGUUGAGAUCCCUGUCGUGGGGAGCAUCGACGCCCGGACCAGACCUUUUGUGACGGAUCUGCGGUAGAGCAUGUAUGUUGGGACCC
rnacentral:rRNA from 1 species